UGGUGGUCAGGUCCUCCUCUUCUGAUGACUCCUCGGAGUCCUCAUGGUUCAUUUUGUUCAGGCUGGGCGUGCUCCCAGAAAGCUGGCUCUCCUCCAGCAGCUGCAUGUCACACUUGUCCAGGCUGUCCAGAGACCGUCUCCGUACUCCCCAGUUGAAGUUGUCCAUGCUCUCUCCCUCCCCAUCUUCCAGCUCAACAUCUAGGAAAUCAAAGUCCCUAAAGACUCUGAAUUGUUGUUCACUGUUUGAAUCAUCCAUAUUCUCCUGCUCUCUCG
rnacentral:lncRNA from 1 species